UAGCUAGUUGGUAGGGUAAAGGCCUACCAAGGCGACGAUCGGUAGCUGGUCUGAGAGGAUGACCAGCCACACUGGAACUGAGACACGGUCCAGACUCCUACGGGAGGCAGCAGUGGGGAAUAUUGGACAAUGGGGGCAACCCUGAUCCAGCAAUGCCGCGUGUGUGAAGAAGGCCUGAGGGUUGUAAAGCACUUUCAGUGGGGAGGAGGAUUGACAGGUUAAGAGCUAGUUAAUUGGACGUUACCCACAGAAGAAGCACCGGCUAACUCCGUGCCAGCAGCCGCGGUAAUACGGAGGGUGCGAGCGUUAAUCGGAAUUAUUGGGCGUAAAGGGUGCGUAGGUGGUUGAAUAAGUUAUCUGUGAAAUCCCCGGGCUUAACCUGGGCAGGUCAGAUAAGACUGUUUGACUCGAGUAUGGGAGAGGGUAGUGGAAUUUCCGGUGUAGCGGUGAAAUGCGUAGAGAUCGGAAGGAACACCAGUGGCGAAGGCGGCUACCUGGCCGGAUACUGACACUGAAGCACGAAAGCGUGGGGAGCAAACAGGAUUAGAUACCCUGGUAGUCCACGCUGUAAACGAUGUCAACUAGUUGUUGGUGAUAUGAAUAUCACUAGUGACGC
rnacentral:rRNA from 1 species